rnacentral:rRNA from 1 species
UUCUGUUCUUAACUGAAUGGAGUAGCUAUCUUUCGGGGUGGUCAAUUGGUUGUUAUAUCUCCACUAAUGAGCAGAGAGGGGUUAAAACCUUCAAAAGUGAGUUAUGUGGAUCAAGGUAUAAUGAUUAAUUGGAGUUCUAGUUCAUUUACUUUGAGAAAAUUAGAGUGUUUAAAGCAGCCUCUUGGGGCACUGAAUACAUUAGCAUGGGAUAAUAAAAUAGGAUCUUCACAAUAUAUUUUAUUGGUUUAAAUUGGAUAUGAAGAUAAUGAUUAAUAGGACAGUUGGGGUAUUCAUAUUGGGUGGUUAGCGGUGAAAUGCUCGGAUCCAUUCAAGAUGAACUAAAGCGAAGGCAUUUACCAAGGAUGUUUUCAUUAAUCAAGAACGAAAGUUAAGGGAUCGAAGACGAUUAGAUACCGUCGUAGUCUUAACUAUAAACU